rnacentral:rRNA from 1 species
GGUUAAGCGACUAAGCGUACACGGUGGAUGCCCUGGCAGUCAGAGGCGAUGAAGGACGUGCUAAUCUGCGAAAAGCGUCGGUAAGGUGAUAUGAACCGUUAUAACCGGCGAUGUCCGAAUGGGGAAACCCAGUGCAAUUCGUUGCACUAUCGUUAACUGAAUACAUAGGUUAACGAGGCGAACCGGGGGAACUGAAACAUCUAAGUACCCCGAGGAAAAGAAAUCAACCGAGAUUCCCCCAGUAGCGGCGAGCGAACGGGGAGCAGCCCAGAGUCUGAAUCAGCUUGUGUGUUAGUGGAACGGUCUGGAAAGUCCGACGGUACAGGGUGAUAGUCCCGUACACCAAAAUGCACAGGUUGUGAACUCGAAGAGUAGGGCGGGACACGUGGUAUCCUGUCUGAAUAUGGGGGGACCAUCCUCCAAGGCUAAAUACUCCUGACUGACCGAUAGUGAACCAGUACCGUGAGGGAAAGGCGAAAAGAACCCCGGCGAGGGGAGUGAAAAAGAACCUGAAACCGUGUACGUACAAGCAGUGGGAGCACCUUCGGGUGUGACUGCGUACCUUUUGUAUAAUGGGUCAGCGACUUAUAUUCUGUAGCAAGGUUAACCGUAUAGGGGAGCCGCAGGGAAACCGAGUCUUAACUGGGCGUUAAGUUGCAGGGUAUAGACCCGAAACCCGGUGAUCUAGCCAUGGGCAGGUUGAAGGUUGGGUAACACUAACUGGAGGACCGAACCGACUAAUGUUGAAAAAUUAGCGGAUGACUUGUGGCUGGGGGUGAAAGGCCAAUCAAACCGGGAGAUAGCUGGUUCUCCCCGAAAGCUAUUUAGGUAGCGCCUCGUGAACUCAUCUUCGGGGGUAGAGCACUGUUUCGGCUAGGGGGUCAUCCCGACUUACCAACCCGAUGCAAACUACGAAUACCGAAGAAUGUUAUCACGGGAGACACACGGCGGGUGCUAACGUCCGUCGUGAAGAGGGAAACAACCCAGACCGCCAGCUAAGGUCCCAAAGUCAUGGUUAAGUGGGAAACGAUGUGGGAAGGCACAGACAGCCAGGAUGUUGGCUUAGAAGCAGCCAUCAUUUAAAGAAAGCGUAAUAGCUCACUGGUCGAGUCGGCCUGCGCGGAAGAUGUAACGGGGCUAAACCAUGCACCGAAGCUGCGGCAGCGACACUAUGUGUUGUUGGGUAGGGGAGCGUUCUGUAAGCCUGCGAAGGUGUGCUGUGAGGCAUGCUGGAGGUAUCAGAAGUGCGAAUGCUGACAUAAGUAACGAUAAAGCGGGUGAAAAGCCCGCUCGCCGGAAGACCAAGGGUUCCUGUCCAACGUUAAUCGGGGCAGGGUGAGUCGACCCCUAAGGCGAGGCCGAAAGGCGUAGUCGAUGGGAAACAGGUUAAUAUUCCUGUACUUGGUGUUACUGCGAAGGGGGGACGGAGAAGGCUAUGUUAGCCGGGCGACGGUUGUCCCGGUUUAAGCAUGUAGGCUGGUUAUCCAGGCAAAUCCGGAUAAUCAAGGCUGAGGUGUGAUGACGAGGCACUACGGUGCUGAAGUAACAAAUGCCCUGCUUCCAGGAAAAGCCUCUAAGCAUCAGGUAACAUCAAAUCGUACCCCAAACCGACACAGGUGGUCAGGUAGAGAAUACCAAGGCGCUUGAGAGAACUCGGGUGAAGGAACUAGGCAAAAUGGUGCCGUAACUUCGGGAGAAGGCACGCUGGUGUGUAGGUGAAGUCCCUGCGGAUGGAGCUGAGACCAGUCGAAGAUACCAGCUGGCUGCAACUGUUUAUUAAAAACACAGCACUGUGCAAACACGAAAGUGGACGUAUACGGUGUGACGCCUGCCCGGUGCCGGAAGGUUAAUUGAUGGGGUUAUCCGUAAGGAGAAGCUCUUGAUCGAAGCCCCGGUAAACGGCGGCCGUAACUAUAACGGUCCUAAGGUAGCGAAAUUCCUUGUCGGGUAAGUUCCGACCUGCACGAAUGGCGUAAUGAUGGCCAGGCUGUCUCCACCCGAGACUCAGUGAAAUUGAACUCGCUGUGAAGAUGCAGUGUACCCGCGGCAAGACGGAAAGACCCCGUGAACCUUUACUAUAGCUUGACACUGAACAUUGAGCCUUGAUGUGUAGGAUAGGUGGGAGGCUUUGAAGCGUGGACGCCAGUCUGCGUGGAGCCAACCUUGAAAUACCACCCUUUAAUGUUUGAUGUUCUAACGUUGGCCCCUGACCGGGGUUGCGGACAGUGUCUGGUGGGUAGUUUGACUGGGGCGGUCUCCUCCCAAAGCGUAACGGAGGAGCACGAAGGUUAGCUAAUCCUGGUCGGACAUCAGGAGGUUAGUGCAAUGGCAUAAGCUAGCUUGACUGCGAGCGUGACGGCGCGAGCAGGUGCGAAAGCAGGUCAUAGUGAUCCGGUGGUUCUGAAUGGAAGGGCCAUCGCUCAACGGAUAAAAGGUACUCCGGGG